rnacentral:rRNA from 1 species
CAGUAGCCGCGGUAAUACGAAGGGUGCAAGCGUUAAUCGGAAUUACUGGGCGUAAAGCGUGCGUAGGCGGUGAGUUAAGUCUGCUGUGAAAUCCCCGGGCUCAACCUGGGAAUGGCAGUUGAUACUGGCUCGCUAGAGUGUGUCAGAGGAUGGUGGAAUUCCCGGUGUAGCGGUGAAAUGCGUAGAGAUCGGGAGGAACAUCAGUGGCGAAGGCGGCCGUCUGGGACAACACUGACGCUGAGGCACGAAAGCGUGGGGAGCAAACAGGAUUAGAUACCCCGGUAGUCCCUGUCUCUUAUCC